GAAAUCGGAGUGUAUAGUAUUUUUUCUUUUCCCAAUUAUGUUUGUAAUUUGCUUUCAUUCUCUUUGGAAUAGGCAGUGCUGCUUUUAUACUAGAAUCAGGUUACAAGCACCCCAGGAGGAGUCAUUAGCUUUAACAGAAUUUCCCUCUCAGGAGUGGACAGCUAGUGUUCUAAACAGAAACACCAAAAGCAGCGGUUUCAAGUGCUUUUCGUAUCUGUAUCUCAGUCACGUCCAGAGAUUUCGAUAAUCAGCAGAGUAAAUGUGUGAAAUAUAUUUUUGAAAUUCAUAGCUUGUUGAUCAUUAUAAUAGAUACUAGUAGUGGCUCUCACUGGCAAAACUAGAGUCCCAGCACUUUGGGAGGCCGAGGCAGGAGGACCAUUUUAGCCCAGGAGUUUUGAGACUAGUCUGGCCAACAUAGCAAGACUCCAUCUCUAAAAAAAAUUUUUUUUUUUUAAUUAGCCAGGUGUGGAGUAUGCAUGUAGUCCCAGCUACUCCAGAGGCUAAGGCGGGAGGAUUGCUUGAGCCCAGGAGUUCAAGGCUGCAGUGAGCUAUGGUCAUGCCACUGCACUCCAGUCUGGCAGGAGAGUGGGACCCUGUCUCAAC
rnacentral:lncRNA from 1 species